rnacentral:miRNA from 1 species
GAAGAGAAUGCUGUGGUUCUGC